GGUGCCAGCAGCCGCGGUAAUUCCAGCUCCAAUAGCGUAUAUUAAAGUUGUUGCAGUUAAAAAGCUCGUAGUUGAAUUUCGGGAUUAGUGCGCUGGUCAUGCCUUUGGUAUGUACUGGUGUUACUGAUUUCUACCUUCUGAAGAACCGUUAUGUCAUUUAUUUGGUGUGGCGGGAAUCAGGACUGUUACUUUGAAAAAAUUAGUGUGUUUAAAGCAGGCUCGUGCUUGAAUACAUUAGCAUGGAAUAAUGAAAUAGGACGUUCGAUCCUAUUUUGUUGGUUUCUAGGAUUGACGUAAUGAUUAAUAGGGAUAGUUGGGGGCAUUAGUAUUCAAUUGUCAGAGGUGAAAUUCUUGGAUUUAUUGAAGACUAACUACUGCGAAAGCAUUUGCCAAGGAUGUUUUCAUUAAUCAAGAACGAAAGUUAGGGGAUCGAAGACGAUCAGAUACCGUCGUAGUCUUAACCAUAAACUAUGCCGACUAGGGAUCGGAUGAUGUUAAUUUUUUAAUGACUCAUUCGGCGCCUUACG
rnacentral:rRNA from 1 species